CGGGACACGUGGUAUCCUGUCUGAAUAUGGGGGGACCAUCCUCCAAGGCUAAAUACUCCUGACUGACCGAUAGUGAACCAGUACCGUGAGGGAAAGGCGAAAAGAACCCCGGCGAGGGGAGUGAAAAAGAACCUGAAACCGUGUACGUACAAGCAGUGGGAGCCUCUUAAUGGGGUGACUGCGUACCUUUUGUAUAAUGGGUCAGCGACUUAUAUUCUGUAGCAAGGUUAACCGAAUAGGGGAGCCGAAGGGAAACCGAGUCUUAACUGGGCGUUAAGUUGCAGGGUAUAGACCCGAAACCCGGUGAUCUAGCCAUGGGCAGGUUGAAGGUUGGGUAACACUAACUGGAGGACCGAACCGACUAAUGUUGAAAAAUUAGCGGAUGACUUGUGGCUGGGGGUGAAAGGCCAAUCAAACCGGGAGAUAGCUGGUUCUCCCCGAAAGCUAUUUAGGUAGCGCCUCGUGAAUUCAUCUCCGGGGGUAGAGCACUGUUUCGGCAAGGGGGUCAUCCCGACUUACCAACCCGAUGCAAACUGCGAAUACCGGAGAAUGUUAUCACGGGAGACACACGGCGGGUGCUAACGUCCGUCGUGAAGAGGGAAACAACCCAGACCGCCAGCUAAGGUCCCAAAGUCAUGGUUAAGUGGGAAACGAUGUGGGAAGGCCCAGACAGCCAGGAUGUUGGCUUAGAAGCAGCCAUCAUUUAAAGAAAGCGUAAUAGCUCACUGGUCGAGUCGGCCUGCGCGGAAGAUGUAACGGGGCUAAACCAUGCACCGAAGCUGCGGCAGCGACGCUUAUGCGUUGUUGGGUAGGGGAGCGUUCUGUAAGCCUGUGAAGGUGUGCUGUGAGGCAUGCUGGAGGUAUCAGAAGUGCGAAUGCUGACAUAAGUAACGAUAAAGCGGGUGAAAAGCCCGCUCGCCGGAAGACCAAGGGUUCCUGUCCAACGUUAAUCGGGGCAGGGUGAGUCGACCCCUAAGGCGAGGCCGAAAGGCGUAGUCGAUGGGAAACAGGUUAAUAUUCCUGUACUUGGUGUUACUGCGAAGGGGGGACGGAGAAGGCUAUGUUGGCCGGGCGACGGUUGUCCCGGUUUAAGCGUGUAGGCUGGUUUUCCAGGCAAAUCCGGAAAACCAAGGCUGAGGCGUGAUGACGAGGCACUACGGUGCUGAAGCGACAAAUGCCCUGCUUCCAGGAAAAGCCUCUAAGCAUCAGGUAACAUCAAAUCGUACCCCAAACCGACACAGGUGGUCAGGUAGAGAAUACCAAGGCGCUUGAGAGAACUCGGGUGAAGGAACUAGGCAAAAUGGUGCCGUAACUUCGGGAGAAGGCACGCUGAUAUGUAGGUGAAGCGACUUGCUCGUGGAGCUGAAAUCAGUCGAAGAUACCAGCUGGCUGCAACUGUUUAUUAAAAACACAGCACUGUGCAAACACGAAAGUGGACGUAUACGGUGUGACGCCUGCCCGGUGCCGGAAGGUUAAUUGAUGGGGUUAGCGGCAACGCGAAGCUCUUGAUCGAAGCCCCGGUAAACGGCGGCCGUAACUAUAACGGUCCUAAGGUAGCGAAAUUCCUUGUCGGGUAAGUUCCGACCUGCACGAAUGGCGUAAUGAUGGCCAGGCUGUCUCCACCCGAGACUCAGUGAAAUUGAACUCGCUGUGAAGAUGCAGUGUACCCGCGGCAAGACGGAAAGACCCCGUGAACCUUUACUAUAGCUUGACACUGAACAUUGAGCCUUGAUGUGUAGGAUAGGUGGGAGGCUUUGAAGUGUGGACGCCAGUCUGCAUGGAGCCGACCUUGAAAUACCACCCUUUAAUGUUUGAUGUUCUAACGUUGGCCCCUAAUCGGGGUUGCGGACAGUGUCUGGUGGGUAGUUUGACUGGGGCGGUCUCCUCCUAAAGAGUAACGGAGGAGCACGAAGGUUGGCUAAUCCUGGUCGGACAUCAGGAGGUUAGUGCAAUGGCAUAAGCCAGCUUGACUGCGAGCGUGACGGCGCGAGCAGGUGCGAAAGCAGGUCAUAGUGAUCCGGUGGUUCUGAAUGGAAGGGCCAUCGCUCAACGGAUAAAAGGUACUCCGGGGAUAACAGGCUGAUACCGCCCAAGAGUUCAUAUCGACGGCGGUGUUUGGCACCUCGAUGUCGGCUCAUCACAUCCUGGGGCUGAAGUAGGUCCCAAGGGUAUGGCUGUUCGCCAUUUAAAGUGGUACGCGAGCUGGGUUUAGAACGUCGUGAGACAGUUCGGUCCCUAUCUGCCGUGGGCGCUGGAGAACUGAGGGGGGCUGCUCCUAGUACGAGAGGACCGGAGUGGACGCAUCACUGGUGUUCGGGUUGUCAUGCCAAUGGCACUGCCCGGUAGCUAAAUGCGGAAGAGAUAAGUGCUGAAAGCAUCUAAGCACGAAACUUGCCCCGAGAUGAGUUCUCCCUGAGACUUAGAGUCUCCUGAAGGAACGUUGAAGACGACGACG
rnacentral:rRNA from 1 species